GUGGGGAAUAUUGGACAAUGGGCGAAAGCCUGAUCCAGCCAUGCCGCGUGUGUGAAGAAGGUCUUCGGAUUGUAAAGCACUUUAAGUUGGGAGGAAGGGCAGUAAGUUAAUACCUUGCUGUUUUGACGUUACCGACAGAAUAAGCACCGGCUAACUUCGUGCCAGCAGCCGCGGUAAUACGAAGGGUGCAAGCGUUAAUCGGAAUUACUGGGCGUAAAGCGCGCGUAGGUGGUUUUGUAAGUUGAAGGUGAAAUCCCCGGGCUCAACCUGGGAACUGCCUCCAAAACUGCAUGACUAGAGUACGGUAGAGGGUAGUGGAAUUUCCUGUGUAGCGGUGAAAUGCGUAGAUAUAGGAAGGAACACCAGUGGCGAAGGCGACUACCUGGACUGAUACUGACACUGAGGUGCGAAAGCGUGGGGAGCAAACAGGAUUAGAAACCCGAGUAGUCC
rnacentral:rRNA from 1 species